GAUGAACGCUGGCGGCAUGCCUAACACAUGCAAGUCGGACGGGAAGAGGUGUUUCCAGUGGCGGUCGGGUGAGCAACGCGCAAGAACCUGCCCUAGGGAGGGGAACAACAGCUGGCAACGGCUGCUAAUACCCCGUAGGCUGAGGAGCAAAAGGAGGAAUCCGCCCGAGGAGGCGCUUGGGCCUGAUGAGUUAGUUGGUGGGGCAAUAGCUUACCAAGGAGAUGAGCAGUAGCUGGCACGAGAGGACGAUCCGACACACUGGAACUGAGACACGGCCCAGACUCCUAAGGGAGGCAGCAGUGGGGAAUAUUGGGCAAUGGGCGAAAGCCUGAUGCAGCAAUGCCGCGUGGGGGAAGAAGGCCUUCGGGGGGGAAAGCCCUGUGGUUGGGGAAGAAAAGCAGCAGUUUAAUAGCAAGCUGGUAUGACGGUACCUAAAGAAUAAGCAACGGCUAACUUCGUG
rnacentral:rRNA from 1 species